rnacentral:tRNA from 1 species
GGUCGGUUAGCGCAGUUGGUAGCGCACCUCGUUUACAUCGAGGGGGUCACAAGUUCGAGUCUUGUACCGACCA